CCUGGUGGCUCAGAGGUUAAAGCAUCUGCCUGCAAUACAGGAGACCUGGGUUCGAUCCCUGAAUCAGGA
rnacentral:tRNA from 1 species